rnacentral:misc_RNA from 1 species
AUAGUUAUUCAUGUAAAUUCAGACGCAAACCAUGUUUAUGCAUAAAAGCGACGCCAAGGCGCCGAAGCACGUUUUGUUUCCACAGGUUUUGAUGGUUUGAAGGUCAUUCGACCGUUCGAUAAUGAUCCCUCCGCAGGUUCACCUACGGAGA